rnacentral:rRNA from 1 species
AGCAGUAGCCACGGUAAUACGUAGGUGGCAAGCGUUGUCCGGAAUUAUUGGGCGUAAAGGGCUCGCAGGCGGUUCCUUAAGUCUGAUGUGAAAGCCCCCGGCUCAACCGGGGAGGGUCGUUGGAAACUGGGAAACUUGAGUGCAGAAGAGGAGAGUGGAAUUCCACGUGUAGCGGUGAAAUGCGUAGAGAUGUGGAGGAACACCAGUGGCGAAGGCGACUCUCUGGUCUGUAACUGACGCUGAGGAGCGAAAGCGUGGGGAGCGAACAGGAUUAGAUACCCCCGUAGUCCCUGUCUCUUAUAC